AGAGUUUGAUCAUGGCUCAGAACGUACGCUGGCGGCACGCCUAACACAUGCAAGUCGAACGCAGUAGCAAUACUGAGUGGCAAACGGGUGAGUAUAAUGUGGGAAUCUGCCUUUUGGUUCGGAAUAACACGAGGAAACUUGUGCUAAUACCGGAUAAGCCCUUACGGGGAAAGUUUUAAUGCCAAAAGAUGAGCCCGCACUUGAUUAGCUAGUUGGUAAGGUAAUGGCUUACCAAGGCAACGAUCAAUAGCUGUUCUUAGAGGAAGACCAGCCACAUUGGGACUGAGACACGGCCCAAACUCCUACGGGAGGCAGCAGUGGGGAAUCUUGCACAAUGGAGGAAACUCUGAUGCAGCGAUGCCGCGUGAGUGAAGAAGGCCCUUGGGUUGUAAAGCUCUUUCGUCGGGGAAGAAAAUGACUGUACCCGAAUAAGAAGGUCCGGCUAACUUCGUGCCAGCAGCCGCGGUAAUACGAAGGGACCUAGCGUAGUUCGGAAUUACUGGGCUUAAAGAGUUCGUAGGUGGUUGAAAAAGUUAGUGGUGAAAUCCCAGAGCUUAACUCUGGAACUGCCAUUAAAACUUUUCAGCUAGAGUAUGAUAGAGGAAAGCAGAAUUUCUAGUGUAGAGGUGAAAUUCGUAGAUAUUAGAAAGAAUACCAAUUGCGAAGGCAGCUUUCUGGAUCAUUACUGACACUGAGGAACGAAAGCAUGGGUAGCGAAGAGGAUUAGAUACCCUCGUAGUCCAUGCCGUAAACGAUGUGUGUUAGACGUUGGAAAUUUAUUUUCUGUGUCGCAGCGAAAGCGAUAAACACACCGCCUGGGGAGUACGACCGCAAGGUUAAAACUCAAAUGAAUUGACGGGGACCCGCACAAGUAGUGGAGCAUGUGGUUUAAUUCGAAGAUACGCGCAGAACCUUACCAACACUUGACAUGUUCGUCGCGACUCUAAGAGAUUAGAGUUUUCGGUUCGGCCGGACGAAACACAGGUGCUGCAUGGCUGUCGUCAGCUCGUGUCGUGAGAUGUUGGGUUAAGUCCCGCAACGAGCGCAACCCUCACUUUUAGUUGCCAUCAUUAAGUUGGGCACUCUGAAAGAACUGCCAGUGAUAAGCUGGAGGAAGGUGGGGAUGACGUCAAGUCCUCAUGGCCCUUACGUGUUGGGCUACACACGUGCUACAAUGGUAUCUACAACAGGAAGCAAGACUGCGAGGUCAAGCAAAUCCCUAAAAGAUACCUCAGUUCGGAUUGCACUCUGCAACUCGAGUGCAUGAAGCUGGAAUUACUAGUAAUCGUGGAUCAGCGUGCCACGGUGAAUGCGUUCCCGGGUCUUGUACACACCGCCCGUCACACCAUGGGAGUUGGUUCUACCUUAAGGCAAGGUUUCAAACCCUUGACCACGGUAUAGUCAGCGACUGGGGU
rnacentral:rRNA from 1 species